CUUUGCAUGUCUAAGGAUGAGUUUCUCUUACUAUAGGUUGUUCGCACUGCAUUGUUUCAAGACAGAAUAUACUAAUCAUGUCUAGCACAGGCAACAUUUUUUCCUGCCCCACUUUAUCAGCUUUUAGAUACAGCAAUAUGGGGUUCAGAGUCAAGGCCAUUUCUAUGCAUGAACAGUAAUCCACAAAUAUUUGCAAUCAACUGUCACCAUAAAUUUGGCAGUUCUUUUUGUCCAUCUUAAGCAUAAAUGUCUCCUUUCUUCAGGAGAGGAAAUAGCAGAACAUAUUUUUGCACUGGAACGUGAGGAAGGGAAUUUCUCAUUAACAAAACCUGUUUCUUAUGCUCUUAUACAGCAUUCCAUUAUACUCAAAUACAGAGAGGUAUGUUAUGUUCUGUAUGUUUGUUAUUGAUCAUAAUUCUUGCUACUGAUCAGCACUGAAUAAAGACACUAUCACUACAAUUUUCCAGUAUUAUUUCAUACAUAUCCCCAUAAAAGUAAUGCUUAUAAAUCAAUAACCUGUAAGAUUAUAAUACCAAACAUUGUAAUAGUUUACAAUAGAUAAUCAUAACCUUAUUUAUUUACAUGACUGGUUAUUUAACUUGUUCUACAUAGAGGCUAGACACAUCAAAUCAAAAAAAAAAAAAAAAAAAAAAAAGUGUCCUUGUAUUUCUUAGAUUAUCUUUUAAUGCUCAGAGCAUUAUUGUUUAGCAUGAAAAAAUUAAAAAAAAAAAAAAAAGCAACAACACAAAAGAACAACAAAAACAAAUGAGAUUAUAUGGACAAUGCAGAAGGGGAUUUUCAGCAAUGAGAUUUCCACUUGGCAGAAGACUAUUGCCUUAACAAAAGCUAUGAUUUUCCCCAGAGGCAGUUUGCUAUAAAAUAAAUGUUUGUAAAAAUUUUAUCAUUUCCCAGCUCAUGGCAGAACUGUGAAUAUGCAGGUGGUAUAUAAACCGAAUGUAUCACAUUUAUACUGCUUUAACUAAUAAACAAUCUGGUAACUAUCAAAAAAGAAUUCAUAUCAGGUAGGCAAGCGCAGCACGCCUGAGUUCCCUGGUAGCACAGUACAAAUGGCACAUUGAGACAUCACAGAGAAUUAGCUUUCACGGUAGAAGCCAGUUACUCUAGGUUUAAGAAUGCAUCCAGACAAUCCAAACACCCCUGCUCGGCAGCUGCCUAACCUUGGAAGUGCUUAAACCUCAUUACAUGUCCUUCUGGUUGGCGUUAAAAUUCUCUGGCAGUGUAUCUGUCGUUGGGUUCUGCUGUCUGGCUGAACAUCAUCAUCAGGAAUGGUUGAGGCCUUCUCCCACAUGAGCUUCAUGGGGAUCCAUGGGAUGGGCAGAAGACAGCUGCUGCUCUCUGGUCUUCCCGUAGGAUGGGGCCCCUCCUAAAAUUCACCCAGAGCUGGCCUUGUAUUGCAAAUUUCACAACAGGGUAAGACGAAUUUGCUAUGCCCAUAUUUGAUUGAAAGGAUAAAAAUUGUAACAAUUAAAAGGCUCCCAGGCUGAGAGGAGUUUCAAACAAGGCUGAAGAUGCAUCCUAGAGGAAAAAAAAAGCUGGCCAUGGCAGCAUGGAGCUGGUGCACCACAAGUGGGCAUGACCUAUCUGCCCCUGGGGAAAGGAGGAUGCUUUGCAGAGUGGCAAAGAAGAAAGACAUGAGAAAGCAUGACUUUGUGCCUGGUGCUGCAGGCCACGUUUGAAAAUAUCUGCAGAUCAGCUCAUCAGCUCAUCUUCUGAUGUUCUUGGUGCCUUGAAAGUAUUUGCUUAGGAAAUCACACUUUUUUUUUUUUUUUUUUCAUUUGCACAGUUAUCUGUUUUUUGUUUGUUUGUUUGUUUGUUUUUAACCAAAAUGAAGAGCAGACUGUGAAAUGUAUCAGUUACAUGGAAAUAUGUUUAUAAUUGUGAUUUAUUUUAUCCUUUGUAGUAUUUUUACGGAGUCUCUUCAGUUUUCUUCUGAACCAAUGGCACAUAUAUGACAGGCUUUAUAAUACUGCACAAGGCUGCAGUCUCCCUUUAUUCUUCCAUGAAUCUUAUAUUCCUUCCACCUCAUUGCUUUAACAAUAAAUAAAUGUUUAAAAUGCAGUUUUAUACCUAAAACCUUAGGCUCACUUGGUAGAAAGUUGGUAAAAUGGAUUCAGACCUGCAUGGACUAAAGCACCUAUAUUCAGUGCAGGUCAACCAAAUGAGUAGGAACACAAGCAGAAGAUAAGAAACACACCUGCAGUUUGAAUUUUUUACUGCCUAGAAGAGAGCCCUCUGAGCAGCGUGCUGUUUUUUGAGUACAAUCUUCUGAAGCUGUUGGAUGUCCCCUUCUGCUUGUGGAGAUGCUUACUAGGUAGCUCUGGAAGCUCAAACCCACUUCACAGUUUCAGUGUCUGAUUGAUGUUGCAGUUUCAAUCUUGCAGGAACCGUUCAUUAGAUCUGUCUGUGUAUCUCAAGACAGGGUCAACAUAAAGAUUUCCUUCAUCUACUGGAGAGCUUAAUUGGAUAAUCCUUCAACGAUGAAUUACAUAAUGGACUGUCAGGGCUCUCUGAAGUCAACUGCCAUUCUUAUUUUAUCCUAUGAUGUGGUGUGAGGAUUAAAAUUUCAGAUUUUAUGGUGCAGUUAAGAUAAAAGGACUCUACCAGAGAAACUGUACUCCUUUAUUUGUAGCGUGUGAGAAACUCACAAUGAUUGGAAAGGGAUGGUAGAAAAUUUCUUCGUGUCAUGUUUUGAUUCAGAUGUCUUUGCAAUUGCUUCUUUUUGGACCUUAAGAAUCUCGAGACCUCAAACAUUGAGGCCAAUUACCUUUCAUUUUUGAUGUGAAUAAAUAUAAUUUCUUUUGGACACAGAACUAAGUGAAUACAUUUGCAGUGAAUAGUUAAAUUUCAAGUAGCAUUUAGUAUUUUUCUCUAUUUUUUAAAGUUUAAAAAUAAACAGUGUGAGUUCAUUGUAAAAUUUAAAACGAUGCUGACAUUAUUUAUUAAAAUUAAGUUCAGAUAGGAAUGUUAGGUUUACUUUUUUUUUUUUUUUUCCUUUUUCUUUUUUCUUUUUAAUUGUAGUAGAGCCCUAUGUAAGGCAAUUCUGCCUAGAAGAGAUUUGUGAAAUCUACUUUUCUGAGGUGGUGGUGUGUUAGAGGUGUUUCUUUGACCCAAACACAUACAGCACAUAGACAAUAUUGAAGGGAGGUAACUUGUGCUAAACUACAGGACUGUUGGUGACAUAUUAAAAGUUCAAAGCACAUGAAAUAUAUUUUUAUAGUAGACUUCAUAUCUUCAGUCUAGCAUGUAGUUGGAUAAUGAAGACUAGAAAUGAGCUUUUAAAGGAGUUUUGGGUGUGAUAAUAGGUCUUUUAGUGAGAAAUGUUUAUGAGAAUAAGAUGUCUCACUCUUAUUUUGAGGUGUCACAUUUUGAAAGUUUUGAUAAUUCAUGUACCUGCUUAUGCUAUUAUGUUAGCUCACAGUUGGCUCAUCUCUACAUUCCUUAGGAUUUAUGCCUUAAAUAGCUGAUAAUCAAGUGUAAACAAUUGUUACUUUUUAAAAUAGGAUUUACAUAUAUUAUGAUAAACCUGAUACUCUCAGAAAGUAACUACAGGAGGGCACUAUUAAUUCUAAACGAGCAUUUCCUGUUCCUCUGUCCUCAUCUUCCUCCUGGCACCCUUACCUUCCUCUGCUGGCAGACAAACAACAAUAAAAUGAGAUUCCAAAGCUAAUUGUGGUAGGACUGAAGUGCAUGAAUUGCUGAUGCCAGGAAGGUUCCCUAGGCUUCAUGAGAAAACUGAGCUUGUAGCCACGUGCAGGUCUGGCAGGUACUAUUGGCACCCAGGCUUCCUUACAAAAAAAGAUUUGUCUUGGGUCAGAAUGCAGAAACCAACAAUAAUCCAUGUUGCAUAAACAACACCAGCAUUAAAACUCCACUGCAGAAGUGUGAAGGCUAACUUUGCCAUUUAGAGGCACCUAAUGAAGAUUUACUGAGUCAUUUAAUAGACCUACAGAGGCUCUGUAAGUGUUUUAUUGAUCUGUUUUGUGUUCACAAUAGCAAUUUUAAUUAUUUUUAACAUUUUUGGAAAUUAAUAAUUAGAAUAGUUCACAUGCUGUGAUUUUUAAAUUAACAGAAUUCUUUUACUUUGGGCUUUAAAUAUCAGCAGUAGCUUCAUUGAUGGAAAAAUUUGGCGAAAAUAUUAUUCAAAAUUUCAUGUUUCAGAAUACCAGAUGAAGCAAGAAAUUACUCAAUUUUUUGCUGCUUGGCUUGAAAUUUAAACUCUUUCUCAAUGUACAUCUUUGCCUUUUGAACACUAUCCUGUACAAAAUAGCUGCCAUUUACAGUGGAAAAAAAAAGUUACAUGGUGCUUUUCCCAUGGGACUUUUUUUUUUUCCUUUUUGUAAGUUUUCCCCCCUUAAACUGAAAGUAAUUCAGACAUGAAAGCAUACGCUCUUGCUCUGUAUAUAUGUAAAAGAAGGAAAAAAAAUAAAGGGAAAAUCCCUCCUCUUUUCACACAGCAAAUGUCCCUUGGCCAUUGAUAAUUGAUUAUUUUAUUUCAUCCUCAGUCUUUUAUGCUCAAGUCUGUUUUCACUAGCUAUUUCAUCAACUGGUUUUUGCUGUCACCUUUUGUUCUUAUUUCAGUGACCGUUUUUUUGCAGCAGAACCUUUUACUGCUCAGGAUAUAGCUGGCUUUUUGUUUGUUUGUUUUUAAUUCUGAGACUGAUAAAAGCAUAUUAAGGUUAAUGAAUGCAAAAAUUCUCCAUCAGUUUUCAGAGAUGAGAAUGUCAGAGGUUCAAAUUGGGUAAGCUCCCUAGUAACAGAGACAUAAUAAACAACAUUCAGAAUAAUAUGAUCUGAGGUCAAAGUCAGUAAUGAUAAAUUCAUUGCAGUGCUUUAAAGUGUAAUCUUUGUUUUUUUUUUCACUAUCCUGGAUUUCUUUACUUUCUCCAUCCUAUUUCCAGUUAUUUGUACUUCAUCAUUCAUUCCAAAUUAUGAUGGCAUCAGUUAUUAUUGCUACCUCUGUAUUAAUGUAAUUUGAAGCUUUUUCCUGAGCCUUUAACAUCACUGGACACAUUGUUCUGGAACCUCAUAAUACUGAAAUCCUGAUGGCCACAGCUUCUGCAUGUUUUGAAUAUAUCUGCUCUUUGGCUCAAUAGUUCUGUGGCCUUUAUAUACAAACAUAUGGUAGCAUGAGGUAUUUUGAGUAACAUAAAGUGUAGGGAGUAGUUCUGUGAGGGUCCAUUGAGGCAGUGUUGUAACAAUGUGGUUUUGUGAGAUAUGUAUUGAUAUGUAUAUACCAGUUAGUCUCAGUUUAGAUCUUCAUUUAAAAAUAAAAGUUUGUGAAUUGUGCUUCCAUAUCUGUCUGAUGCUUUUUCCUGCCCUAAUUCAAUAUUAAUUUAAUAAUUAAUAUUGAUCAAUAAUUAAUAUUGAUCAAUUUUCAAACUUGUAGAGGUCCAACUGAAAUUAGAAAUUAGUGAAAUAAUUCACAGUUCCGGAAGGCACACAUUGGAGACGAUGAGAUAGAUGGAUUUUUUGUUCUGCUAGUGCUAGGCUGUUGGUAAUUGAGAAGUAAAUGUAAUUUGGAGAACUCAGAAGGCUUUACAUGAUAAAACUACUGAAGGCUCCCUCCCUGCCAGGUUAUCUGUAGCACAUCACUACAGCUGUAUCUCCAGAUUACAUUUUCUUUCAUUGUAUUGUUCUCCCUUACAACUGUUCAUCACCAUUUGCAAUGUCGGAUUCAGAAAUUAGUGUUCAGUUGUGCCCUAGAGUCAUCUGUUAGCCAAAGUAUUGAAAUUUGGAACCUCCUUUUACACUGGUGAAAACCUUUUAACUGAUUUAUGAGAACUGGAACAAGAGUGAAAAUGUUAAUGCUUGUGUCUAUAUAACCCAAGAAAGCAGCUGUUUCCUAAAUGCAUGAUACAUUUCACUUUUGACCAAGCUGUAAAUAGCAAGAAUUAAGGCUCUCUUCUCAUCCUGUGACAUACUGUUUUUAUAGGAUGAAAUUACAAGAUGUGUAGAGUGAAAUGUUUCUGGGAUUCCAUUUAAAACAAACAAACAAAAAAACGACUUUACUGGCUUUCUUUAUGUAAAGAUUUAAGCAUGAAAAAGAAAGGUUCAUAUUUACUGGUUUUAAUUUCCUCUUACCUUAAUAUUUACAUCUGCACUGUACCAUUUUUUGUUUGCUUGUUUUCGUGCAUAUACGUUGUGAAGACAUAUGCCUCACAGUAAAUAUCUGUCAUUUGUUAUCUGAUUUCAAUCAUGUUUACAUAGUUAUCACAGUUAAGCAAAUGUAUGAAAAGAUUCAUCUUUCUUUUUACUUUAAGUUUGCUCUUGUUAUGGAUAAUAAGUGACACAUGCUAUUUUGUUGCCUGGGCUAUCGCUUUAUCUAUAUCUUCCUAACGAACCUCUUUUUACAUACCUAGAUACAUAACAAUUUAUUUCAGUAUAUACAUGUUUACUUUAUUAGAGAUGUAAUGGAUAGACAAAAAUAUUUUUGAAGAAGGCAACAGAUCUCUGGAAGUUUGAACUAAAAACAACAAAUAACUUAGUUCUUGCUGUUCUUAUUUCAUCUGAAAGGAAGAUUAGCAUAGUUACCACAUUGUCACAACAAAGUUUGUUCCUUCUCAUGUAAGGCAUUUUUAAGAUAAGUAUCACUGAUCCAUUGCCACUCAAGUGUGACACCCUAACCUUGAGCCAAAAGAAAUUUUAAGCCUGAAAAAAUUGUUGUACCACCUCAGAAUAGGCUAGAGAAAUUAAAUUGAAUUCUAUAUCAAAAGCUGUACCUUGGUCCAAAACCAGGUCAAUGCCAGAUCAGCUCUCCACCUCAUUGUGACCUGCUGUCACAGAAAAAGCAUGCUCUAUUCUGAAAGGUGUUUGAAUCCACUGGCCUUAUAUGAGCCAGUCUUUUGAGUCUUUUACUGCAGUGCCAGUAAUUGUCAAAUACAGUCAUUUGAAGUACUGAGAAACAACAAAAUGUCUCACUGUGUUUUAUUGAUACAAUUUAAUGGAUAAGAUUGCUUUUGUCUGGUUGAGAGGCACACCUGAAUAGCUGGAGUUAGGUUUAUUUGGUUUAGCUUUUUUGUAUCAUUGUGUAGCAGUGUGACAGAAGUGUCUGUCCAUGCUGACAUGCACACUGGGGUUCAAGAAUUCAAGAUAUACAAUAAAGGUGUCAGUGGUGCCUCUGAAAUAAGUACCGCAUGGUCAGUUGUGGCUGUCAAAUAAAAAAGUCUAACCUGAUAGUGUGUGGAAGCAGUGCUAUUUGGUUUGUAUUUUCGAGACUUUGGCUGAUGAGAACAAACAAUAAUGACAGAAGAAACAUAUAAUAUUUAACCAUGAUGUAUGUGUAUUUGCAACUGCAUAUUUUAACUCCACGUUAUCUUUGUUGUUAAGAUUAUUUUAAAGUGAACUUACUGAACUCAGACCUGGAGAAGUUACAUGAUACCGGUGUAUUUAUGUUGCUUUUGGAUGGUCAUAUUCUUUGGCUCCUUCCAAGAAGAUUAUUAUUAAGGAGAUGUAACACACCACCAAGAGCUCUGAGAAUUUACAUAGCAUCGUUUUUUCUCUGUAUAACACUUCAUGCAAAGGUCAAACUAGGUAUGAAGAACUGUAAAAGCACUAAGCUAUCCCAUUCAUAAAAACAUUAUUUCAGUGUCCCAUGCAUG